UACGUAGGGUGCAAGCGUUGUCCGGAAUUAUUGGGCGUAAAGAGCUCGUAGGCGGUUUGUCGCGUCGGCUGUGAAACCUCGGGGCUCAACCCCGAGCCUGCAGUCGAUACGGGCAGACUAGAGUGCUGUAGGGGAGACUGGAAUUCCUGGUGUAGCGGUGAAAUGCGUAGAUAUCGGGAGGAACAUCGGUGGCGAAGGCGGCUCUCUGGACCACAACUGACGCUGAGGCACGAAAGCUAGGGGAGCAAACAGG
rnacentral:rRNA from 1 species